CGGGAACCGCCAUCUUGGCACCGCUCCGCCCCCUCGGGUCGUGCCCUGCGCUGCCGUCCGCUGCGCUGGGGUUGCUGUCCGCCGAGCCGCCGUUCCCGAAUUCGGGAGCUCGUAGCUAAAUCUUGUCUCUGUGCACUACACCUACUCGUCUGUUAACACACCUUUAGGGACAGUGAUCCCACCGCCUCCCUGGGCAGCCCGUGCCAACGCUUCGCAGCCCUCUGUGUGGAAAAAGUUCUCCUACUGUCCAACCUGACCCUCCCCAGGCACAAUUUGAAGCCGUAACCUAAGAAAAAAACAAAAGAUUCCCUCAGGGAAGGGGAAGCCGUGCACUUGCCUUGGAGCACUUUCUCCCAGGCUGUGCUGUGAGAAGAGCAGCAGUGCAGUGCAGUGCAGAGGUCUCAGAGAUGUGCCCGGAGCAGAAGAAGCUUGCACAGCUGCCAGCCUUUCCCAGUGGGUUUCCAGGCAGGAGCAAAGAAAUGGCUGCUGAGAUACAUUACGUGAAAUGGGAACCUGGACUACCUCCUGCACAAAGCUGCUGAGGAAAAGCAUAUGACUUAGAGAUGCUUCUGAGUUUUCAUAUGGCAUUUUGUGAAAUUUCUGGAGCUGGAAACUCUGUCAACUCUGCAGCUGUCAACUCUGCAGCCAUAGGGCGCUCCCAAGAUGGUCUGACAGUUUCUUUGUUCCAUUCACAACGUUGGAAUUAUGGGAUUUCUGUGGGAAGAACUGACCUGAUGGACUAAACAGGAUUCAGUGCAGAACCCACAGGUGUGGAUUUACUGGAGGGCUCACAGAAGUUGAUUCCAGCAGAUGCCAGCUGUGACCCUCCCGCUACUAUAAGACUGUACAGCCAAGCAGUGCUGA